GGGAGAUUGGAAAAACCCAGUGCUUCAAAGGAUCUUAGCAAAGAACUGGUAUACAUGAACUGGACUAUCAUGCCGCAGGAAUGAAAGCACCCUACAUAUCCAAGUAAGGAUUGUGUGAAGAACUGCACUGGACUCCAGUGAACUGCAGUUCCUCAGACUGCUGGGAAAACAUUAAAAUCUUCAUUGCUUUGCAUUGCUAUUAACCAGUUUCGAAAUGUUUCACAAAUAAAAAAAGUUAGUCUUCAAAAA